AGUGAACGCUGGCGGUAGGCCUAACACAUGCAAGUCGAACGGCAGCACAGUAAGAGCUCGCUCUUACGGGUGCCGAGUGGCGGACGGGUGCGGAAUACAUCGGAAUCUACUUUUUCGUGGGGGAUAACGUAGGGAAACUUACGCUAAUACCGCAUACGACCUACGGGUGAAAGCAGGGGAUCUUCGGACCUUGCGCGAUUGAAUGAGCCUAGGUCGGAUUAGCUAGUUGGCGGGGUAAAGGCCCACCAAGGCGACGAUCCGUAGCUGGUCUGAGAGGAUGAUCAGCCACACUGGAACUGAGACACGGUCCAGACUCCUACGGGAGGCAGCAGUGGGGAAUAUUGGACAAUGGGCGCAAGCCUGAUCCAGCCAUACCGCGUGGGUGAAGAAGGCCUUCGGGUUGUAAAGCCCUUUUGUUUGGAAAGAAAAGCAGCAGGUUAAUACCCCGCUGUUCUGACGGUACCCAAAGAAUAAGCACCGGCUAACUUCGUG
rnacentral:rRNA from 1 species